AAUCGGAACAACUUCAGAAAAAAUCUCGGACCAGAUUUUUAGCCCAUAUUGUUGGAGGCAUACCUCCUAGUAUAUGAGGAGUUUUAAGGUGUUUCAAAAGCCUAAAAUGAAGUUCAUCGAGUCUAGUUUUCAACGCAACAAACCGCUCGUCAAAAUGAUAUCGGAAUAAGGAGAUAUGGACGAUGCAAGUUGGGCUGGCGGGGCAGAAACUGGAGACCCGAUCCAAACACUCAUAUUUCGGCCCAUGAGGCCCAUUAAACUUAAUAUAUAAGUCACCACUUCUCCCUAUAUCACCUAACACGACCAAAAACAGAUCCAAGGACCCUUAUUUUCUCUCCUAAACCCCUUUCUAAUUGAGCCAUCAUAUAAGCUAAAUCCUAGACCCUUGACAUGAUAUUAGUUAAAGAGAAGUUGUAGCCUAAGUUUUCUUUGUGUUGUUAAGCAAGCAGCUGGAAAGAGGAACAAUAUUCUUGAAGAUUCUGAUUGUUAAAGGAAACGUUGAUAUGCAAGCUAGAGAGAGAAAGCAUAAGCCAUGGCAUUCGGCCAUGGCUAGAAAAAUUGGAGCUCAAAUUUGUUGAUCUAAAAAUCAGAUUUUCUAGUUAUUUCAUCCCUUAUGAAGGUGAUAAUAACAUGGAGAAGUCAUUUGGAGCAACAAGAACAAGUAUUAGUUCAUUUCACAAAUUCUAGCUAAGUGGAA